GAUGAAGAACGUAGCGAAAUGCGAUAAGUAAUGUGAAUUGCAGAAUUCAGUGAAUCAUCGAAUCUUUGAACGCUCAUUGCGGCCGCCAGUAUUCUGGCGGGCAUGCCUGUUCGAGCGUCAUUUCAACCAUCAAGCCCCAGGCUUGUGUUGGGGACCUGCGGCUGCCGCAGGCCCUGAAAACCAGUGGCGGGCUCGCUGUCACACCGGGCGUAGUAGAUUUUAUCUCGCUCAGGGCGUGCUGCGGGUUCCGGCCGUUAAAAAGCCUUUUUUACCCAAGGUUGACCUCGGAUCAGGUAGGAAGACCCGCUGAACUUAAGCAUAUCAAUAAGCGGAGGA
rnacentral:misc_RNA from 1 species